rnacentral:rRNA from 1 species
CCUACGGGAGGCAGCAGUGGGGAAUAUUGCACAAUGGGGGAAACCCUGAUGCAGCGACGCCGCGUGAGUGAAGAAGUAUUUCGGUACGUAAAGCUCUAUCAGCAGGGAAGAAAAUGACGGUACCUGACUAAGAAGCCCCGGCUAACUACGUGCCAGCAGCCGCGGUAAUACGUAGGGGGCAAGCGUUAUCCGGAUUUACUGGGUGUAAAGGGAGCGUAGACGGCAGGGCAAGUCUGGAGUGAAAUCCCAUGGCUUAACCAUGGAACUGCUUUGGAAACUGUGCAGCUAGAGUGCAGGAGAGGUAAGCGGAAUUCCUAGUGUAGCGGUGAAAUGCGUGGAUAGUAGGAGGAACACCAGUGGCGAAGGCGGCUUACUGGACUGUAACUGACGUUGAGGCUCGAAAGCGUGGGGAGCAAACAGGAUUAGAUACCCUGGUAGUC